UCUUUUUUAAAAAAAACACAAAGACAGGGCACGCACGAAUUCGAAACGCGUGGAGCGGAUUUGGGCAGGAUUGGUACCACCCUGAAACUUUUACAGCCGCUACCUGCCAGUACAAAUCUGAGUGAAACCGAAUUUAGGGUUGGCGUUUAGUUCGGGACGCAUCAUAUGUUUGGGUUAGUCAGAAGUAUUAAAUAUAAGUUAAUGAUAAAAUAAUUGUAUAAAUAAGAGUUAAGUUUGUUUGCCGGAGCCCGAAGGCGUACCUGUCGAACCAUAAAGGCCGGGGCCGGGCAUGUGAAUGUGCCGGGCUGUCGGCCGCUUGUCCCCC
rnacentral:lncRNA from 1 species